GUUGUCGUCUCCCCUGUCUAAUCACAACCUAGGCUUUCCAGAGUGUUGUUUCAUCUUCUUCCUAACAAUCCGAGAAGAUACCAGUUACAUAUUCAUCAUAUUAAAGUCCUCAUUAAAUUCAUUACCUACGAUCUACUUUCAAUUCGAGUUUCACUCCUGCAAGUUAGUGGAACUGCUACUAUAAAAAAGACCAUGAUGCUCCUCCACCGUUCAAGUGUGGUUGCUCCGUUUCUAAGAGGCCAGGAACGUCCGACGCGGUGGGAGUGGAUAUGCUCCUACUCAAUUCACAGGCGAUCAUGAUGUCGGGGCACCGUGAAUGUCAACCGUAAAACAUUGAGAGAGUACAUGUCGUCUAAGGGCCAUAUACCAAAAG